CCUACGGGGGGCUGCAGUGGGGAAUAUUGGACAAUGGGGGAAACCCUGAUCCAGCGACGCCGCGUGAGUGAAGAAGUAUUUCGGUAUGUAAAGCUCUAUCAGCAGGGAAGAAAAUGACGGUACCUGACUAAGAAGCCCCGGCUAACUACGUGCCAGCAGCCGCGGUAAUACGUAGGGGGCAAGCGUUAUCCGGAUUUACUGGGUGUAAAGGGAGCGUAGACGGCACUGCAAGUCUGGAGUGAAAGCCCGGGGCUCAACCCCGGGACUGCUUUGGAAACUGUGGUGCUAGAGUGCAGGAGAGGUAAGUGGAAUUCCUAGUGUAGCGGUGAAAUGCGUAGAUAUUAGGAGGAACACCAGUGGCGAAGGCGGCUUACUGGACUGUAACUGACGUGAGCUCGAAAGCGUGGGGAGCAAACAGCGAUUAGAUACCCCAGUAGUCA
rnacentral:rRNA from 1 species